rnacentral:rRNA from 1 species
CUCCGUAGGUGAUCCUGCGGAGGGAUCAUUACCGAGUGAGG